AUUGAACGCUGGCGGCAGGCCUAACACAUGCAAGUCGAGCGGAUGAGAAGGGCUUGCUCUUCGAUUCAGCGGCGGACGGGUGAGUAAUGCCUAGGAAUCUGCCUGGUAGUGGGGGACAACGUUUCGAAAGGAACGCUAAUACCGCAUACGUCCUACGGGAGAAAGCAGGGGACCUUCGGGCCUUGCGCUAUCAGAUGAGCCUAGGUCGGAUUAGCUAGUUGGUGAGGUAAUGGCUCACCAAGGCGACGAUCCGUAACUGGUCUGAGAGGAUGAUCAGUCACACUGGAACUGAGACACGGUCCAGACUCCUACGGGAGGCAGCAGUGGGGAAUAUUGGACAAUGGGCGAAAGCCUGAUCCAGCCAUGCCGCGUGUGUGAAGAAGGUCUUCGGAUUGUAAAGCACUUUAAGUUGGGAGGAAGGGCAGUAAGUUAAUACCUUGCUGUUUUGACGUUACCGACAGAAUAAGCACCGGCUAACUCUGUGCCAGCCGCCGCGGUAAGAC
rnacentral:rRNA from 1 species